rnacentral:misc_RNA from 1 species
GAUGAAGAACGCAGCGAAAUGCGAUACUUGGUGUGAAUUGCUGAAUCCCGUGAACCAUCGAGUCUUUGAACGCAAGUUGCGCCUCAAGCCAUUAGGUUGAGGGCACGUCUGCCUGGGCGUCACAUAUCGUUGCCUGAUGCCAGUUUCCUCGUGAUGGGUGACUGUGCAGGGCGAAUGAUGGCUUCCCGUGAGCAUUGUUGCCUCAUGGUUGGUUGAAAAUUGAGUCCUUGGUAGGGAGCGCCGUGAUAGAUGGUGGUUGAGUGACGAACGAGACCCAAUCAUGUGAGACCCCUACCGAAUUUGGCCUUCAUGACCCACAUGCGUCUUUGGAACGCUCAUGACGAGACCUCAGGUCAGGCGGGGCUACCCGCUGAGUUUAAGCAUAUCAAUAAGCGGAGGA